UGUGCACCCUCAGCUUGUCCCUUCAAGGAAGCACUUCACAGCCUCUCUGUGGCACUUCCAAAUUGCCAGCAUCACUAUUCUUGCUCUUUCUGGCCAUUUUUAAAUAAAAUAAGGGUGACUUUAACACAAGCACUGAGAUACCAGUGGACAUUAUGACUGAGCCGCCUGCUCAUGAUUGACGGACAGGGUGCCGUGCACAUGCAGAGCAAGGGGUGAUCUGCGCCCAGGGCAGUCCGGAGCAGGAGGGCCGAGGUUUCGUCACAUCACUCAGAAUGGUGUGCAAUCUCACACCUGCUGACAUUUUGCAUUUAAUAUUUUCAGACCACAGUUGACUUCAGAAAGUGAAACCACAGCUUCUCAGAAUGAAGUCACUGCAGAAUUCACUCCUGCAACGUGCAAGAGGGUCCAGGGUUGCAAUCUUGUGUCUGCAGCAGCCACGCAGGGACACGAUCGGCCAAUGCACACAUUCUUUUCAGACCUGCACAUGGGUCCCAGCGAGAACCCCUCAGGCCCAAGAGCCUGCAAUCAAAGCUCCUGCCCAGCCGCUGACAGCAGUGAGAGGAAGUCGUUAUCCGUGAAGAGCACGGGGGCGAUGACACUCAGGAUAAAAAUGCUCCUUCUGGCUGUGCCUAAACAUGUCAAAACAAAAGACUAAAGCAGGAAAAAUCACUUAUCUUGAUGCCUUCACAAGAGGAAACAAAUGUUGACUCGCUGCUCAGUGCGCUCUUAUUCCUGUCCCAACAGAAGAGUGAUGUGGGGUGCCCUGCUCCUCGUGGAUUUUUAUGACAAAGAUCAUGAUGCUGGGAAACCGGGCCGAUGCUGUGCACUUUCAGAAUGUGUGUGUCGCGGCGAUAGCAGUCGCCUGUGAAAUAGCUGCUCUCUGUCUUGCGUGUCCUUGCUGAGACUCUACUAAAGGCAGUGGGUGCCUGGGAGAAGGGGAGCCUCCGAAGUUAGCGCCUCGCUCUGUGCCUCGUUCAAAAGGUGCUUUAUCUACUCUACGGCUUUGACACUUUCUUUGAAAAUCAGCCCCAUCUCCUUGCCAAGUUCAUGGCGGGGGAGUUCAGUGGCAUUUUCACAAGCCAUUUCAUUUUUCUGGAUACCUUCCUAUCAGGGAGACACGGCUAUGAUCCCACUAACUCCUGGCUGCACCUCUCUCAUUAUCUCCCUCCUUUCUCCUCUCCCCCAUCCUCUUCUCCCGCACCCCCACUUCCUUCCUUCCCCUCAGCCCUUCCUUUGCAAUCCCAUCCACCUCCCUGCUCUCCCCUAAGCCCUCAGCUUCCUGCCUGAGGGUGGGAGUGCAGCCUGAACCAUUGCUCAUCGCUUCUCAGCACCCUUUACCUCCAGGUUAAGCGUUAGUUCUGGCGUCUCUGUUAAAACAUCUGCACUGCAGUACCAGCGAACCGUCCAAGAAUCAGCGUGUGCCAAGGUCACCCCCUGUGCGUACCGGUGAGUUUGUGUGCCCAAAGCCUUCAUGUACAUACUCAUAAACUACAAUGGAGCGGUGCCAUUGAGGAGACAGAAGGAAGCUAGGUAGAUGGGGUGGGACCACGGGAAAGGAAGUAGAACCUGGAACUCACUUGGGUGGAGGCCUGAACUUUAAAAUGUAUGGAUACUGCUAAGACAGGCAUUGGGCAGAUAACCAAUCACAAGGCAGCAAGGUGUAUAAACCAAUCCCAAGGAUAUUGCCCAGGCAGAAUUCUUUGGAAAGACCAAGAAGAGCUAGCAAGACUACCCACCCCCUAAACUAAAAGGCGCGCGGGUG